rnacentral:rRNA from 1 species
CCUACGGGUGGCAGCAGUGGGGAAUAUUGGACAAUGGGGGCAACCCUGAUCCAGCCAUGCCGCGUGUGUGAAGAAGGCCCUCGGGUUGUAAAGCACUUUCAGUGAGGAAGAACGCCUGGUGGUUAAUACCCAUCAGGAAAGACAUCACUCACAGAAGAAGCACCGGCUAACUCCGUGCCAGCAGCCGCGGUAAUACGGAGGGUGCGAGCUUUAAUCGGAAUUACUGGGCGUAAAGCGCGCGUAGGUGGCUUGAUAAGCCGGUUGUGAAAGCCCCGGGCUCAACCUGGGAACGGCAUCCGGAACUGUCAAGCUAGAGUGCAGGAGAGGAAGGUAGAAUUCCCGGUGUAGCGGUGAAAUGCGUAGAGAUCGGGAGGAAUACCAGUGGCGAAGGCGGCCUUCUGGACUGACACUGACACUGAGGUGCGAAAGCGUGGGUAGCAAACAGGAUUAGAUACCCUUGUAGUC